rnacentral:rRNA from 1 species
UACGUAGGUCCCAAGCGUUGUCCGGAUUUAUUGGGCGUAAAGCGAGCGCCGGUGGUUUCUUAAGUCUGAUGUAAAAGGCAGUGGCUCAACCAUUGUGUGCAUUGGAAACUGGGAGACUUGAGUGCAGGAGAGGAGAGUGGAAUUCCAUGUGUAGCGGUGAAGUGCGUAGAGAUAUGGAGGAACACCGGAGGCGAAAGCGGCUCUCUGGCCUGUAACUGACACUGAGGCUCGAAAGCGUGGGCGGCAAACAGG